GACGAACGCUGGCGGCGUGCCUAAUACAUGCAAGUAGAACGCUGAAGGAGGAGCUUGCUUCUCUGGAUGAGUUGCGAACGGGUGAGUAACGCGUAGGUAACCUGCCUGGUAGCGGGGGAUAACUAUUGGAAACGAUAGCUAAUACCGCAUAAUAGUAGAUGUUGCAUGACAUUUGCUUAAAAGGUGCAAUUGCAUCACUACCAGAUGGACCUGCGUUGUAUUAGCUAGUUGGUGGGGUAACGGCUCACCAAGGCGACGAUACAUAGCCGACCUGAGAGGGGGAACGAGCACACUGGGACUGGGACACGGGCCAGACUCCUACGGGAGGCAGCAGUAGGGAAUCUUCGGCAAUGGACGGAAAUCUUACCGAGCAACGCCGCGUGAGGUAAGAAGGGUUUCGGAUCGUAAAGCUCUGUUGUAAGAGAAGAACGAGUGUGAGAGUGGAAAGUUCACACUGUGACGGUAUCUAACCUGAAAGGGACGGCUAACUACGUG
rnacentral:rRNA from 1 species